UACGUAGGGGGCUAGCGUUGUCCGGAAUCAUUGGGCGUAAAGAGCGCGUAGGCGGCCAGAUAAGUCCGGUGUGAAAGUCAAAGGCUCAACCUUUGAAUGCCGCUGGAAACUGUCUGGCUAGAGUCCGGGAGGGGCGAGUGGAAUUUCCGGUGUAGCGGUGAAAUGCGUAGAUAUCGGAAGGAACACCAGUGGCGAAAGCGGCUUCCUGGUCCAGCACCGACGUUCAGGCACGAAAGCGUGGGGAGCAAACAGG
rnacentral:rRNA from 1 species